rnacentral:rRNA from 1 species
UUGAACGCUGGCGGCAGGCCUCACACAUGCACGUCGAACGGUAACAGGAAGCAGCUUGCUGCUUCGCUGACGAGUGGCGGACGGGUGAGUAAUGUCUGGGAAGCUGCCUGAUGGAGGGGGAUAACUACUGGAAACGGUAGCUAAUACCGCAUAAUGUCGCAAGACCAAAGAGGGGGACCUUCGGGCCUCUUGCCAUCGGAUGUGCCCAGAUGGGAUUAGCUUGUUGGUGGGGUAACGGCUCACCAAGGCGACGAUCCCUAGCUGGUCUGAGAGGAUGACCAGCCACACUGGGACUGAGACACGGUCCAGACUCCUACGGGAGGCAGCAGUGGGGAAUAUUGCACAAUGGGCGCAAGCCUGAUGCAGCCAUGCCGCGUGUAUGAAGAAGGCCUUCGGGUUGUAAAGUACUUUCAGCGGGGAGGAAGGGAGUAAAGUUAAUACCUUUGCUCAUUGACGUUACCCGCAGAAGAAGCACCGGCUAACUCCGU